UCCUCUGUUUGUAGACUUGGAUAGAAAGGAACUCGGGGAGGUAAAGCUUAAUAAAGCACACUUUAAUUAUAACGAGUCGUGGAAUGUUUCAGAAACACAAGAACGCGUGAUGGACAUGUAUGGACGUGACAGGUUCGUGUCCCUUCUGCGAAUGAAGCAUUUAGGAGGAAACCGACGUCGGAUGCUUAAAAUAAUCAUGCUGUAGUAACAAAAAUGCAACCAGAAAGUUGGAACAAAAGCCAGAGUGUCAACGGUGGAAAUGUUUCCGUAAACGGCGUGAGCUGCCAGUCGAGUGCAGUGUUUGUUACAAAUGGCGUAACUGGACAUGUUCAUACAAACAGUGCAGCUCUGACUACAGCUACGACUUGUCCAAGUGACGUCAAGGCAGUUUCCAAUGGCCAGACUUCGCUUAUACCAGCAGCAACUAUGUCAGAUUCUGCUCCAAAUAAUCAAACUUUUACACUGAGUUCCUGUAAACCACAAACGGUGAUGACUGUGCCUAAAUCACCUGGUUCUAUAAUGCAGAAAUCUGUUGUAAUUUCAUCUAGUUUAAAUAGCGAGAUAACUACAAAUAUUUUAAAUACGUCUACACAUAUGCCAGCAUCUUUAGACAGUACAGUACCAAAAAUAGUUGUACAUACAAGUAAGCCUGGAGCAAGCGCACAUGUAAUCAUAGGUAGUAAGCCAGUUCAGGAGAGUACAACCAUGACUAGUGCGAACAGCCAUUCCUCAGUUGUCAGCCACUGCCAACCUUUGCAGACUGUAAAUUUAUCGGGACAGACAAGCAUGGGUAAAAGCUUGGCACCUGCACCUCAGACUGGAAUGGCUGCAACAACUUCUGUGGAAUCUACCUCAAAAGUGACAAGAGUAGCCGCCAUCGCUCAAACACCAGGGAAGGGGACUGUACUUGUUGUACCAAGAGUGAGUACUCCUCAGCAGAAUGGAACACCACAGGCUCUACAGACCACUACAAUACAGCUACCUGCGAACUUUCAAAUCCCACAAGGGAUGGUACUUGUCAGAAGUGACAGAGGUCAGCUGAUGUUGGUAUCUCAACAAGCCUUAGCCCAAGCUCAAGCACAAGGGGCUGGACUCCCCAGGCAUGCUGCUACUAUGCCUACUGUACAAGCUUCUACACUGCAGACCACAGGAAUUGCUGUUUCUGCAACAUCAGUUAAAACAGUGAGACCCCCAGCUCCAGCCCCUACCACAGCAGAGGGAUCCAAAGGAAAGUCUGUUGCACAGAGCACUGUCACUGCAGAGACAGUAGAUAAUGCAAAAAAGUGCAAGAAUUUUCUCGUGACAUUAAUUAAGUUAGCCUCCAGCGGAACCCAUUCUGCUGAAAUGGCAAAGAAUGUUACGGAGCUGGUGCGGAACCUUCUGGAUUCAAAAAUCGAACCAGAGGAAUUUACGAACAGAUUGUAUAAUGAACUGAAGUCCUCCCCACAGCCUUAUCUUGUGCCUUUCCUCAAGAAAAGUUUACCAGCAGUUCGUCAGCUGACCCCAAACUCUCAGCUCUUCAUCCAGCAGUGUGUUCUGCAGAAAGGUGGCAUUAUCUCCACAGCUGCAAUCACAGCGCAACAAGCUGUGAAACAGACUUGUGUAACAGUGGUUGCCAACAGCAAAACCAUAGAACCUGCAGAGCUUGCACACCCACCAAAGCCAGCACAGCUGAUAGUUCAGCAACCAAGAGUUGUGAUAAAACCACCAGCAAGCACUGCGCAGUCCCAGCAAUCAGCACAGAUUGUGAACAGAAUCCAGCUCAAGACCCCAGUGACAACCACUCUCCGGCCCAGUCCGUGUCCUUCAGGUACUGUUGUAAAGCAGGCAGCAGUUCUUGGACCUAAAGCGAUCCGUGUGCAUUUCAAAGAAAAUGGAGCAGCCCUUUUCAGAGAUGAAGAUGACAUCAAUGACGUGGCUUCUAUGGCUGGAGUCAACUUGAAUGAAGAGAAUGAAUGUAUCUUAGCCACAAACUCUGAGCUGGUGGGAUCGGUAAUAAGAUCCUGCAGAGAUGAGCCAUUUCUUCUAAUGUCUGCCCUGCAAAAGAACAUUUUGGAAACAGGUAAGAGACAUGGCAUUACAGAAGUAAAUCUGGAUGUUGUGAGUCUUGUCUCUCAUGCCACACAGGAGCGCUUACGGACACUGGUAGAAAAAAUGACUGUGGCAGCACAACAUCGGACAAGAUCAUACAAGGUAUUCUUUCUGUCCUCAUUCAGAAAGUUCCAGGUAAUCAAAAUGACCUGAUGUUAAGGGUUUAGCAUGUUUAACUUCUGUAGACCACACUGUUACAAACCACUGGAAAAAGACACAGGACUGCAUUUUAAGGUGAGUAAUAAUACCAGUGCAUGUCUAUUAGAUGCCGACUUUAAACAAAAUUCAUGGUGUUGGGUAACUGUAUUUUCUGUCAAUGGUUCGUAAUCCAAACUAAAACUUCCAAACUUAUAACCCUGUGUUUCUUUGCACCCAACAAACAUUUGCUAUAAUUUAUGCCUUUAGAAAAAGCAGCAGUUUCUUUUUUUAUUGUAACAGAGACCUUCCUAUCAUAGUACUUUUUAAUAGCCAAACAGUAUAAAUUACAUGGCAAAAGAGUUGGAAAAGUUUUAAGUAUGUCAGGGAAAGACUGUGCGAUGGUGGGGCAAUGAAGGCUGAAGGUUAAUUACCCCUCUGAGAAUAUAGUAAAUGAUUUAGAUUAAAAAUACCACAUUUGUCCCUGCUCAAAAUUAGAACCAGUACUCAAAGUCUCACCACAAAAGACUGCUUUAGAACUGCUCACAAACAUGCUUACUUUGCAUUAACAUUUUUAGGUUUCCAUUAACAUGAAUACUUUUUAAUACAAUAGGUAAUACAACAUACAUAGGUUUAACUAGUCAGUGAAACAUUAGAAACCUCAGAACUUCCAUCCACUAAUCAGGAAGCACAGUGAGAUUGCACUACCUUAAGUUAGAUGACCAGAGACAACUGGUUCCCAACCUUUUUGGGUGUGCGGACCCCUUCUGAACCCCCCAAAAUUUUGCGGACCACCAUAUGCUUCUGUCAUAGUGACACACAGUCGCUGUACAAGGAAUUCCGAUUUAUUUUGCUUUACACUAUAGUACGGAAUUGAUACCCGAUGCCAUAUGAAAAACUUACCUAAUGAUGGCUGGUGCUGUUUCAGCGAUGUCACAGUCUGAAUGUCCGAUUUGGAGUGGUGACGAUUUGGAAUGUUUUAGCUUUAAAUCUGGUUCCACAUCCAGCCUACUCCUGUACUUUGAAUUCAACGCAACAAACGCAGAAAUUCCACUUUCACAAGAGUAUAUGGUGGCGAACGUAUAACCAGAUGCCAGUCAGAUUUCGUUGCGUGAAGACUAAAGAGCUGUUGCAUGAAAGCUCUGUUAGACUGUCUUACUCCUUUUGAUGUCAAGUUCAUGUGCAUUUCACUGUCAACAUUCACAAAUGGGUUUCUAAUUCACUUGUUUUUUUUUUGAGUCUUUUCUAAGUAGCACCGAAGAGUAGCUAGCUUCAAAGUUUUGUUCGUCAACACCUCGUAACAUACAACAUGCAGUGGUCAUGGCUCCUCUUCGCUACCGGUCCAAGUAAAUCCCAUUUCCAAGUAUGUAUCAUUGUACAUCUGCAUGUUGCGUUUAGUCUCUCUCUCUGUUGCAGGGUUUCACUUGAUACUCCACCAGUGGCGACUCGUGAAUUUUUUGGACAGGAUGAUAGUAGAAACUUACUGCUGAAUGACACUCGAUCUCAGCUGAAGUUCUUUGAGCAGCUUGAUCGUGUGGAAAAACAAAGAAA